GCGAGGGUGGGUUUCCUGUGGGUGUCCACAAAUCAUGACGUGAAGACUGUGGGAGUAAAGGGAAGUGGUAAGUGGGUUGGAAGUUCUAAAGGGCAAGAGGUGGUGUGCGCAUUUCCAAGGGCAGAGAAAUGGCUGCUUACACAGCUUCUGAUAAGCAAGUUCACAAGAACACGUCCGUCCUGUCCCAGCACAGGGGCAGCUCAGGAAUGCCGGAGGAGCCAUUCUGGGAAGUAAAAGUGUGUACCAGAAGAACCAAGGACAACAUCCAGUUGUUCUAAUCCCACAGAAGAGACCUGGAGGUGCUUGUGGUCUGAGCGAGACUGGCUAGUCUUUCCCAUUGUGCCCCCAAAACUCGUAUGUAGUGAUAUUUCAUUUGUAUUUUAAUAAAUAAAGCUUGCCUGAAGAU